AGCUGUGACAAUUUGCAGGGGAGCCAUGAGACAUCCAAAUGGGGAGAGUCCCAUAUGUCAGGAGGUGUUUGGAGGUGACCCAGGACAGAAGACAACCAAGUGGACUCUUGACUCAAGGGAUGCCUCGGAGCCGUCUGCUUGGAGCAGUGAGAUGAAAGGGAGACACCCUUUGAUGUGUUUGCCGUUCACACAGUGCCUCUGUGGGGAAUCAACCCGAGCACUUUUGCAGCACCUUCCACCACUGUUAAUCACCCAGGAGCUGCUGCUGGAUGGACGUCAACUUUUUCUUGAUGUGGAGGAGAGCAGGAACGCUGUCAAUGCCAGGCAUCAGUCUUUCUGUUGCAGACUCCAGGCAUUAUUGGUUUGGGCCCAGUUCUCCAAAGUUCUUUGCAAACUAAGUGGCUUUACUGAGGUGACCCUUUGGGCAGGUGCCGUGCUCUGCCACCCUCCCUCGUUGGCUGGAUGGCCCCUUGCAUCUCCCAGCCAGCCAAGCCUGUCAUGCAAAGCUGCCAUCUCCAGCACUGUACGCAGAGCACCGUGUGAACAGCAGGCUCUGAGCAUGCUGCCUCACAGCCUCCAGUGCAAAGGUGGCCCCAGGGCACUUCCCAUGGAUUUUCCGCCCACAGGUGCCACCACCCUUCUGGAAGGAAGCAGUCGGCCUUGUUUUGAGCUGCUGCCUUGCAAAUGCAUCCUCUCUAGCACACAUCUGCCUGACCCAGGACAAAGCAACCUGUGGCCUCAAGGAGUGAAACACAGCCUUGAAAACUGAAAGUGCUGUACACAGACAGAGCAAGUGAUGCUCUCCACUAGCUCCUGUGACAAUCACCUUUCUGCUUUUCAGUCUUUGUCAGGAACAGGAAUGAUCCCUAUAGUUUCUUUUCCUGCCUUGUGCUGCCUUCACAUCUGCUGCAGAGCAGAAAUUAAAGGAGAUGGAUGCAGACCCUGGUCUGCUUUGUGGAAAUAUUUGUAGUAUUUUCAGUUUAGGUAAAGGUCUUUCACUAACAAAUCCUACCUGCUGACCCCAAAGCACAUGAGAUCCUCUCAGAUUUUUUGCCAUCAUUCCUCGUGCUUUUGUGUUCCUUCAAACAUUUGUUGCUUCAAACAAUCCUCUUGGAAAAGCUUCUAGCAGCUCCGGAAUGGGUCCCUGGAAACUUAGUGAGCUAGUUGCAAUGCAGAGCUCAGAAGUGCUCUUUCCACAUGUGCUACCUCUUGGAAGCCAAGGAGGCAUUCCUAGGGCCAGGAAGAGAGAGUGUAUGCCACCAUGUGGCAGCAGAUUCCCAAGUGUGGAGCUCAGGAGAGCUUGAGGCAAGCCCAGCUUAUAGCUCAGGCUGGAGGAGGGCCUGGCCCUUGUAGGCAGAGCUUCAGCAAGGAGUUAUGACCUUCUGUGCAUGGACAGGGAGGUGCUGUACAGGCACCCUGUCCCAUCUCCAAAGGCACCAGCCACCCCCUCUGUGAAGGUAAGAUUUAUUCUGCAAUUGAGCAGCCCUGGAAUUUACCAUGGAAGACAAUAUUAAUCUGAGAAUUGUGUUCCAGCACCAAAGACUCAUUAUUCAGAGUGACAGCCUGCAGAGCUGAAAAUAAACAAAGAACAAAGUCAAAUCAAGUAGCUUUGGACAGAAACCACCCUGCCUCAAGGCAGAAGACGACUUCUAAGCAAGAGAGACAACUUCUGAGGAAGAAACUCUUUUGGAAGCACAUUAUCCCACUGAUGCAAAGCUUCUUCCUUUUCUCUCAGAAGCAACCAAAUACUGGCCUGCCAGGAAACUUUGGAGGAAAUGUGUCUAAGAGGCUAGACCAUGCUGGCAGACCUCCAAGACCUUGUGCUGAUUUGCCCUGGUGGAGACUCCAACCCAUUGCUGCUGUCUGGGAAAACCAGAUCAGUGUGUCCUUGAGAAGAACAUAUAGACAAUGAGAGUGUGCAUGGGGAAAAAUGGACCAGAUCUACCUCUUCUGCUUCCCUCUGUGCUUGUGCAGGGUAGAGCCAAGCAUCGACUUAGGAAGGCAGGAUGAGCCUGUGGAAAUCAGAUGCAGCACAGAGGAGGAGGAGGAAGAGGAGGAGGAGGAAGGACAUAACAUCUUCAGUAUCAGGAUGGAAAUGUGGAACCUCAACUUUCAAAGGUCAUCCAGUUGGGCUCACACUCCAGCUCACAUUGUCUGGAGAAACAGGUCUUCAU